GACGAACGCUGGCGGCGUGCCUAAUACAUGCAAGUUGAGCGCUGAAGGUUGGUUCUUGUACCAACUGGAUGAGCAGCGAACGGGUGAGAAACGCGUGGGGAAUCUGCCUUUGAGCGGGGGACAACAUUUGGAAACGAAUGCUAAUACCGCAUAAAAACUUUAAACACAAGUUUUAAGUUUGAAAGAUGCAAUUGCAUCACUCAAAGAUGAUCCCGCGUUGUAUUAGCUAGUUGGUGAGGUAAAGGCUCACCAAGGCGAUGAUACAUAGCCGACCGGAGAGGGUGAUCGGCCACAUUGGGACUGAGACACGGCCCAAACGACUACGGGAGGCAGCAGUAGGGAAUCUUAGGCAAUGGACGAAAGUAUGACCGAGCAACGCCGCGUGAGUGAAGAAGGUUUUCGGAUCGUAAAAAUCUGUUGGUAGAGAAGAACGUUUGUGAGAGUGGAAAGCUCAUCAAGUGACGGUAACUACCCAGAAAGGGACGGCUAACUACGUG
rnacentral:rRNA from 1 species